rnacentral:lncRNA from 1 species
UAGGAGACAGAGAGAGACCCUGUCUUCAAAAGAGAGAAAACAAACAAACAAAAACUAAGAAACUAGAAUGUGCGUACAAAAAGUAACUGCAAAUUUGGUGAAGGUUUUGGAAACUUUAUCAAAUGCAUAGUAGCUAAAAUAAUUAGCGUGAACCAGAAAAUGAUGGGAGACAACCAUAAGAAAGAAGAUAUAACAAUUUUUAAAUUUAAUAUCAUAAGAAAAAUGUAUUAAUUAUUUUCUCCAUACAAAAAAUCAUGAUAAUUAGUUGGAAAAUUCAAGGAGUCAGAUAUCCAUACAUAUUCAAUAGCUCAUUAUCAGCAAAGGAUAUUAAAUGUUGUUGAACAAAAUUCUUACAAUGUCUGUAUUAGGAAAGCAUCAGAUGUAAAUCAGAUCUUUCAAAAUCAUAUUUUUAUGUCUUUUAGCUAUCUUUUUGUGAAAAAUCAGCAAGAUGUAACUUUCAGCACAUUCUAUUAGAUAUCAACCUACUGGACUUUAAAAGCUUAAUAAACAAUUUAUUACACUAUAUAUUAAUUUAAUAGUGGCUAUAUUGCUCUAUAGCAUUUCAAUUCUGAUUUUAAGUUAAUUGUCUAUUAUAAGAUAUUUUGCCUCAGGCUGAACUUAGUGUAUAAUCUUAUAAUUUAGGAAUUAAGUAUAUUGUCUCCACUGAAUUCUUCUUUAUGGUUUUGAAUAUUAUUUCGGCUUCUGAACUUUUACAAGAUUCAACAGGUUAAUGAAGUAUAAAUUCUCCAAUGGUUCUCUUUAUGCAAAUAGUGCUUUUUCUGAAAAGGUUUUUAUGUGAUACAGAAUUUAUGCCAAACUCUCCAUUAAAUGGAUCUAUACUGAUGAGCCUUUCCUUCUGACCCACUGUUUUUAACACAAAAUUAUGUCUGACACUUCCUAAUGCUUGAGAAUCUUUUCCAAAUUUAGUGAACUUUAAUAAAUGUCAGUUAAAGGUUCACUGACAAAUGGGAGGUGAGUAGAAAGACAAAUGAAAGACUUAACACACUAAUGUUCUGUGGAAAAUGAGUAAGAUAUCGCUUGAAACCACCAUAUUGAAAGAAAUAAUAAAAGUAUGUGAUCAUUAAUACCAGUUUUGGGAGUUUACAGUAAAUCAGGAAAUUUAAAUCUAGAUUUCCUUACACUCAGUACUAUAUAUUAUUUCAAUUAGAUGCCUAUAGAAAAUGUGUACCUCUUUAAAACAUCUUUUAUAAAAUUCUAAGUAUAUUUCCUAAGUGUUCAGAAAUCUUUCUCCUGUUUUAGAUAGUUCUGUGUUCCUCCACAGCGCUCAGGGCUCAUACCUGCACUCAAAUAUUUUUUGAAUGAAGGAAUAAAUGCUUCUUUUAUAUCAGUUAGUUUUUAAUUGACAUGAAUCUAUAUUUCAGGCCUUUCCUUAAAUAUCACUUUUUCAAUGAUAAUAUUUGAAGUUUUGCCAACUCAUUCUUAUUGUUUUCCCUGAUUUAUUUUUAUAGCAAUUAUUAUCAUUUAACACACUGUAAGUUCUUCUUAUUUGUCCAUUGUUUGUCUCCCUCAGCUGGAAUGUAAAAGCUCCCUAUGGACAGGGAUUUGUGUUGUAUUGUCUGCAGUAAUACUAGUGUCUGGCACAUGAUAGGUAUUCAAAAUGGAAUCUGGAAUGAGCAGCUAAAUGUAAGCUUUAUCAUUCUUGAAAUUCAGAAGCUUUUGGGGUGAUGCUAAGCCAGAAAAAGAGGUAAUCUUUCAAAUGUUUGUCCUUGCAAGUCCUAUGUUGAUUUUCAAUGAGCAACAGAGCAAAUUCAUUUGUUUACAAUUGUAGCUGAAACAACCAAGUUUGCUUAUGUGACAUGUUUACAGUUUGAUGUAACUGUAGAUAUCAGAGGCUAACAUUUCUUCUGUGGUCCUUGUUUUUGUAUUCACUGUUGUUUUUGGGUUUCCUUAAGGACUUCUUCCUAAAUAAAGUCUUAGAUGUGCAGUCCUUUAAAUUCCAUUAACCUGUUAUUAUACAAGACCCCUACUAAUUUGAGUGUAAGGUGUGGGAUAGCCUUAUGCUUUGUUCUCAAUGUUUUAGUUAGUCUGUGCUCCUGGGCUUUGACCUUCAUAAAUGCUUCUCAGUGCCCUCUUUUCCCCACUGUUAGAUGAGACAGAAAGGUUACAGCAGGCUAUUGGUAUUUCCUUUUCCCUUUGGUCUUGAAUAAAACCCCACAUGGUAGGCUCUGCCAAAAUAGGCUAUGAGGGUAGGCCUUGUUAAGAAGAACACAACGCUCUGGGUGUAUUUCAGAAUGGCUGUUUUUCCCUCCCCUUUCCAGAGCAGGAAGGAAUUUUUCUCUGAGCUAAUUUGAUGUGGAAGAAUCAAAAAUUAAAAGAACAAACAGCCAUCCAAUACAAACAAUCUAACAGUAGCUAUAAAUAUUACUAGAGUUACAUCAAUCUCAAUAUAAAGAUAUUAGAAUGCUAUAUCUCUCUAAAUUUGUGUGCAUACAUGGAACAUCAAAAAUCUACAGACGCUCAUGGUGUAAGAGCACAUAAAAGUAUCCCUUUGCCCUUUCUGGCACCUAUUGGGAUUCUAUCAAAGAAACAUGGAGAAAAGAAAAGUUCAGAAGCUGCUCUCAAGUAGAAAUAUCACCGAUAGCUACAUGUUUACAUACAAGAACCUUCGGCUGAGAUUCUAAGGGCUUUUGAAGUUUAGUCAAGUUAUUUUUCGCUGUGAGUUCUUUGUCUGCUGUUACUUUAAAUGAUUUCCUUCCAAUGCUUUGUCUUUUUUGCCAUAAAUAGUAUAUUGUCAAAAUUUACUCGAUAAAUAUUAGCAAUAUCUGACCUAUGUGAAAAAUAAGUUAUGUAUAAAAACUUUAAUGCUUGAAUUUUGAGUAAACUAUUCAGAAUCAACUUCAUUCCCCCUCUUUAAUCAAGAGAAAAAUCAAUAUAUUUCUAAGAACAGUUAUUGAAACAUUAUUGUUUUGUGAAGUUUUAUGAGGAAACACCAAAUAAUGUUUUAAAUGGAUAUAAAAAUCUUAAACUAUUCCUUCAACAACUAAACAUUUUUUUCUCAGGUCAUUAAACAGUUGUUAUGUUUGGGAACCCAGUAUUUUCUAUAAUUAAAGUUUUGUAAUGUCAAAUGACUCUUCUAGAAAGUCAACUGGAGACCUUCCUUGUCAGGCCAUUAAUUUUAAAGUAAAGUUGUCUAAACAGGAAAUUGAAGGAAAAAAGUAGUGGCUUGGAACUAAACAUUUUGAUAUUAUGAAUCAGCAGUAGGUGGAAGGAUGGAGAGGUCCAAGAUGUAAAAUUAUAGAAUAUUAAUGAUGCAGUAUUUUCAUUUUUUAAUAAAACCAAUAUGAUUGCUUUUUCAAUAAAAGAGCCCGAAAUAGAAUUUCUUCCACCUUAGGCAGGUAUAAUAAAAUAUUUCUACUAGUUCCUUUUCUACAUUAUUUCAAUAAUUUUGUCAUUAGAACCAAACACCAUUGUUGGCAGCUACUUCCAUUUGCCACAAUGUACUCUUCUUCAAAAAACAGGAGAUAGCAUGACCAUACCAACAUGCAACCUUAAAAGACACUUUUAAAAACUUCAUAUCCAAAUAUAAUUCAUAAAUAUAAUAUUAAUAAUGAGGACAUGAUUGUCUUCUCCAUAAAUAAAGGGCCCAUCAUUAAAUGCAAGCAGCUCUAAUAGUCCCUAAAACACUUCACAAUAGGUUUAAAAAUCCAUUUUUCAUCAUAAAAAAUGGAUUUCAAAAAAAUGGUAUUCUUUCCUUGUCAAGUGAAACAUAUUGUAAUCGUUUCCUGUUGUUGCUGUUAACAAUUUACCACAAAUUCAGUGGCUUAAAACAACACAAACAUUGCAGUUAUGAAGUCACAAGUCUGAAAUGGGUCUCACUGGGCUAAAAUCAAGGUGUUCGCAGAUUUGCAUUCCUUCUGGAGGCUCUGAGACGGAAUCUGUUUCCUUGUGUUUUUCAGCUUUUAGAGGCUGCCCACCUUAUUUGGCUCAUGACCCUUCCUCCCCUUUUAAAGCCAGACAUGUUGAACCACGUCUUUCCAUAUUGCCAUCUCUCUGGUUCUCUCUGGUUCUUUCUCUUCUAUGUCUCUCUUCCCUUGUGAUUACCUUGUGCCCACCUGAAUAAUCCAGGAGAAUUCACGGACCAUCCCAAGGUCAAGUUUUUUCAUUUUUAUUUUAUUUAUUUAUUUUUUAUUGAGACAGGGUCUCAUUUUGUCACCCAGGCUGGAGUGUAGUGGCAUGGUCUUGGCUCACUGCAGCCUGGACCUCCUGCACUCAAGCAAUCCUCUCACCUCAGUCUCACAAGUAGCUGGGACUACAGGUGUGUGCCAGCACACCUGGCUAAUUUUUUGAAUUUUUUAUAGAGACAGGGUUUUGCCAUGUUGCCCAGAAUGGUCUCAAACUCCUGAGUUCAAGCAAUCUGCUAGCCUGGGCCUUCUAAAGUGCUAGGAUUACAGGCAUGAGCCACCACACCAGCCUGAAGGUCAAAUUGUUAGCAAUCUUAUUUUCAUCUGCUGCUUUUGCUAGGAAAAUUAAUAUAUUCAUAUUCACAUGUUCCAGGGAUUAAAUUUAUUUUAAUGCAGUGCAAUUUAAUGUUGGAUUAUCACCUCGAAUGAAACAAUCAUAAACAUGUUCUUUAGAAUAAGCGUUUGAAAAGUUAAUUUUUUAAAGAAAAAGUCUACAGUAAUGAACUAGACUUUCCCUCCUCACUUUUUAAGCUAUCUAAUUUCUAAUGGCCUAAUCUCCAGAUCUUGAUUACACAUCUCCUUACAUCUUUUCAUUGUUAUUCCUGCUCUACUAAAUAAUAAAGGAUAGAUGAAAAUAAUAUGAAGACCGACAUGGUGGCUCACACAUGUAAUCCCAUAACUUUUGGAGGCCAGGGCAGGCAGAUCACCUGAGGUGAGGAGUUCGAGACAAGCCUGGCC